GUGACUCCUACGGGGAGGCAGCAGUGGGGAAUAUUGCACAAUGGGGGAAACCCUGAUGCAGCCAUGCCGCGUGUGUGAAGAAGGCCUUCGGGGUUGUAAAGCACUUUCAGUAGGGAGGAAGGUAGUGUAGUUAACACCUGCAUUAUUUGACGUUACCUACAGAAGAAGCACCGGCUAACUCCGUGCCAGCAGCCGCGGUAAUACGGAGGGUGCGAGCGUUAAUCGGAAUUACUGGGCGUAAAGCGCAUGCAGGCGGCCUGUUAAGUCAGAUGUGAAAGCCCGGGGCUUAACCUCGGAAUUGCAUUUGAAACUGGCAGGCUAGAGUCUUGUAGAGGGGGGUAGGAAUUUCAGGUGUAGCGGUGAAAUGCGUAGAGAUCUGAAGGAAUACCAGUGGCGAAGGCGGCCCCCUGGACAAAGACUGACGCUCAGAUGCGAAAGCGUGGGGAGCAAACAGGAUUAGAUACCCUGGUAG
rnacentral:rRNA from 1 species